rnacentral:rRNA from 1 species
UACGGGGGGGGCAAGCGUUGUUCGGAAUUACUGGGCGUAAAGGGCUCGUAGGCGGCCAACUAAGUCAGACGUGAAAUCCCUCGGCUUAACCGGGGAACUGCGUCUGAUACUGGAUGGCUUGAGGUUGGGAGAGGGAUGCGGAAUUCCAGGUGUAGCGGUGAAAUGCGUAGAUAUCUGGAGGAACACCGGUGGCGAAGGCGGCAUCCUGGACCAAUUCUGACGCUGAGGAGC